GAUGAACGCUGGCGGCGUGCCUAAUACAUGCAAGUCGAGCGAAUGGAUUAAGAGCUUGCUCUUAUGAAGUUAGCGGCGGACGGGUGAGUAACACGUGGGUAACCUGCCCAUAAGACUGGGAUAACUCCGGGAAACCGGGGCUAAUACCGGAUAACAUUUUGAACCGCAUGGUUCGAAAUUGAAAGGCGGCUUCGGCUGUCACUUAUGGAUGGACCCGCGUCGCAUUAGCUAGUUGGUGAGGUAACGGCUCACCAAGGCAACGAUGCGUAGCCGACUUGGAAGGGUGAUGGGCCACACUGGGACUGAGACACGGCCCAGACUCCUACGGGAGGCAGCAGUAGGGAAUCUUCCGCAAUGGACGAAAGUCUGACGGAGCAACGCCGCGUGAGUGAUGGAGGCUUUCGGGUCGUAAAACUCUGUUGUUAGGGAAGAACAAGUGCUAGUUGAAUAAGCUGGCACCUUGACGGUACCUAACCAGAAAGCCACGGCUAACUACGUGCCAGCCGCCGCGGUAA
rnacentral:rRNA from 1 species